GGGUAGCUAGUCUAAUCAAGAUAGUUAAUUUCGACUUAGCUGACAGCGGUUAAAUUCCGCUGCUACCCU
rnacentral:tRNA from 1 species